UCAGACUCACUACCGUGAAAACCUCAGAUCCUGAAAUUUGGUGCAACGGUUAUCCUGUGUGCUUGCCUGUGUGGUAGGAAGCAGCUUUGCAUAUGCAGGAUGCUUACACGGGCACAACAUACACCGUCAGUGGCCGCA